rnacentral:rRNA from 1 species
CUGUGAGCUCGAUGAGUAGGGCGGGACACGUGGUAUCCUGUCUGAAUAUGGGGGGACCAUCCUCCAAGGCUAAAUACUCCUGACUGACCGAUAGUGAACCAGUACCGUGAGGGAAAGGCGAAAAGAACCCCGGAGAGGGGAGUGAAAAAGAACCUGAAACCGUGUACGUACAAGCAGUGGGAGCACGCUUAGGCGUGUGACUGCGUACCUUUUGUAUAAUGGGUCAGCGACUUAUAUUCUGUAGCAAGGUUAACCGAAUAGGGGAGCCGAAGGGAAACCGAGUCUUAACUGGGCGUUAAGUUGCAGGGUAUAGACCCGAAACCCGGUGAUCUAGCCAUGGGCAGGUUGAAGGUUGGGUAACACUAACUGGAGGACCGAACCGACUAAUGUUGAAAAAUUAGCGGAUGACUUGUGGCUGGGGGUGAAAGGCCAAUCAAACCGGGAGAUAGCUGGUUCUCCCCGAAAGCUAUUUAGGUAGCGCCUCGUGAAUUCAUCUCCGGGGGUAGAGCACUGUUUCGGCAAGGGGGUCAUCCCGACUUACCAACCCGAUGCAAACUGCGAAUACCGGAGAAUGUUAUCACGGGAGACACACGGCGGGUGCUAACGUCCGUCGUGAAGAGGGAAACAACCCAGACCGCCAGCUAAGGUCCCAAAGUCAUGGUUAAGUGGGAAACGAUGUGGGAAGGCCCAGACAGCCAGGAUGUUGGCUUAGAAGCAGCCAUCAUUUAAAGAAAGCGUAAUAGCUCACUGGUCGAGUCGGCCUGCGCGGAAGAUGUAACGGGGCUAAACCAUGCACCGAAGCUGCGGCAGCGACGCUUAUGCGUUGUUGGGUAGGGGAGCGUUCUGUAAGCCUGCGAAGGUGUGCUGUGAGGCAUGCUGGAGGUAUCAGAAGUGCGAAUGCUGACAUAAGUAACGAUAAAGCGGGUGAAAAGCCCGCUCGCCGGAAGACCAAGGGUUCCUGUCCAACGUUAAUCGGGGCAGGGUGAGUCGACCCCUAAGGCGAGGCCGAAAGGCGUAGUCGAUGGGAAACAGGUUAAUAUUCCUGUACUUGGUGUUACUGCGAAGGGGGGACGGAGAAGGCUAUGUUGGCCGGGCGACGGUUGUCCCGGUUUAAGCGUGUAGGCUGGUUUUCCAGGCAAAUCCGGAAAAUCAAGGCUGAGGCGUGAUGACGAGGCACUACGGUGCUGAAGCAACAAAUGCCCUGCUUCCAGGAAAAGCCUCUAAGCAUCAGGUAACAUCAAAUCGUACCCCAAACCGACACAGGUGGUCAGGUAGAGAAUACCAAGGCGCUUGAGAGAACUCGGGUGAAGGAACUAGGCAAAAUGGUGCCGUAACUUCGGGAGAAGGCACGCUGAUAUGUAGGUGAAGUCCCUCGCGGAUGGAGCUGAAAUCAGUCGAAGAUACCAGCUGGCUGCAACUGUUUAUUAAAAACACAGCACUGUGCAAACACGAAAGUGGACGUAUACGGUGUGACGCCUGCCCGGUGCCGGAAGGUUAAUUGAUGGGGUCAGCGCAAGCGAAGCUCUUGAUCGAAGCCCCGGUAAACGGCGGCCGUAACUAUAACGGUCCUAAGGUAGCGAAAUUCCUUGUCGGGUAAGUUCCGACCUGCACGAAUGGCGUAAUGAUGGCCAGGCUGUCUCCACCCGAGACUCAGUGAAAUUGAACUCGCUGUGAAGAUGCAGUGUACCCGCGGCAAGACGGAAAGACCCCGUGAACCUUUACUAUAGCUUGACACUGAACAUUGAGCCUUGAUGUGUAGGAUAGGUGGGAGGCUUUGAAGUGUGGACGCCAGUCUGCAUGGAGCCGACCUUGAAAUACCACCCUUUAAUGUUUGAUGUUCUAACGUUGACCCGUGAUCCGGGUUGCGGACAGUGUCUGGUGGGUAGUUUGACUGGGGCGGUCUCCUCCUAAAGAGUAACGGAGGAGCACGAAGGUUGGCUAAUCCUGGUCGGACAUCAGGAGGUUAGUGCAAUGGCAUAAGCCAGCUUGACUGCGAGCGUGACGGCGCGAGCAGGUGCGAAAGCAGGUCAUAGUGAUCCGGUGGUUCUGAAUGGAAGGGCCAUCGCUCAACGGAUAAAAGGUACUCCGGGGAUAACAGGCUGAUACCGCCCAAGAGUUCAUAUCGACGGCGGUGUUUGGCACCUCGAUGUCGGCUCAUCACAUCCUGGGGCUGAAGUAGGUCCCAAGGGUAUGGCUGUUCGCCAUUUAAAGUGGUACGCGAGCUGGGUUUAGAACGUCGUGAGACAGUUCGGUCCCUAUCUGCCGUGGGCGCUGGAGAACUGAGGGGGGCUGCUCCUAGUACGAGAGGACCGGAGUGGACGCAUCACUGGUGUUCGGGUUGUCAUGCCAAUGGCACUGCCCGGUAGCUAAAUGCGGAAGAGAUAAGUGCUGAAAGCAUCUAAGCACGAAACUUGCCCCGAGAUGAGUUCUCCCUGACUCCUUGAGAGUCCUGAAGGAACGUUGAAGACGACGACGUUGAUAGGCCGGGUGUGUAAGCGCAGCGAUGCGUUGAGCUAACCGGUACUAAUGAACCGUGAGGCUUAACCUUACAACGCCGAAGGUGUUU